CGAAGAGGUCACACCCGUUCCCAUACCGAACACGGAAGUUAAGCUCUUUAGCGCCAAUGGUAGUUGGGACUUUGUCCCUGUGAGAGUAGGACGUUGCCAGGC
rnacentral:rRNA from 1 species